GAAGUUUGAUUUGAGACAAACAAAAAAAUUUAACGAAUCGGAUUACAUUUGGGGUGACUCCAUGCUGGAGAAGUCAAAAUUGCAUAAAAUAUCAGAGUGCGGUCUUUUUUUGUCGCUAGGUGUAUAUAUUUCUGACAUCGACAUCUAAAUUUUUGGUUGAAGGUUAGUGACACUCGUAUAUGCCUGUCCUCUCUAUUGAGUUACAACUGAUAUUUUUUUUUUGUGUAAUGUAUUUUUUUUCUUUUUAGCAUCUUCGUAAGCAUAUUAAUGCCAUGACGGAAGUGAACGAUUCUCGCCUUAAAGUUUACGAACAGCUGGAAGUAGGUAUUCAGGACCUAGAACGCGCAAACCAACGCCUCAUCAUCGAAAAAAACUCCGAUAAAAAGCAAAUUAAAACAAUCUCGCUGCGAAGAGCUCAGCCAACUGCUAAACGAAUCAAAACAGGCCCU